rnacentral:rRNA from 1 species
CCUACGGGUGGCUGCAGUCGAGGAUCUUCGGCAAUGGGCGCAAGCCUGACCGAGCGACGCCGCGUGCGGGAUGAAGGCCUUCGGGUUGUAAACCGCUGUCAGGGGGGAGGAAGGCCCGGUGCAGAGCCGGGUUUGACCUAUCCCCAGAGGAAGUGUGGGCUAAGUCCGUGCCAGCAGCCGCGGUAAGACGGACCACACGAACGUUAUUCGGAAUUACUGGGCUUAAAGGGUGCGUAGGCUGUGCAGAAAGUUGGGUGUGAAAGCCCUCGGCUCAACCGAGGAAUUGCGCCCAAAACUACUGUGCUGGAGGGAGACAGGGGUGAGCGGAACUUAGGGUGGAGCGGUGAAAUGCGUUGAUAUCCUAAGGAACACCGGUGGCGAAAGCGGCUCACUGGGUCUCUUCUGACGCUGAGGCACGAAAGCUAGGGGAGCGAACGGGAUUAGAUACCCUAGUAGUC